GGGGCAUUAGCUCAGUUGGCUAGAGCGUCUGCGUGGCACGCAGAAGGUCAUCGGUUCGAGCCCGAUAUGCUCCACCA
rnacentral:tRNA from 1 species